rnacentral:rRNA from 1 species
UACAGUGGUCCCAAGCGUUGUUCGGAUUCACUGGGCGUAAAGGGUGCGUAGGUGGUCAGGUAAGUCUGAUGUGAAAUCUCUGGGCUCAACCCAGAAACUGCAUUGGAUACUAUCUGGCUAGAGGAGUGGAGGGGGGACUGGAAUACUUGGUGUAGCAGUGAAAUGCGUAGAUAUCAAGUGGAACACCAGUGGCGAAGGCGAGUCCCUGGACACUUCCUGACACUGAGGCACGAAAGCUAGGGGAGCAAACAGG